UGGGGGAAUAUUGCACAAUGGGGGGAAACCCUGAUGCAGCAACGCCGCGUGAGCGAAGAAGUAUUUCGGUAUGUAAAGCUCUAUCAGCAGGGAAGAAAAUGACGGUACCUGAAGAAUAAGCACCGGCUAACUACGUGCCAGCAGCCGCGGUAAUACGUAGGGUGCAAGCGUUAAUCGGAAUUACUGGGCGUAAAGCGUGCGCAGGCGGUUGGGUAAGACAGAUGUGAAAUCCCCGGGCUUAACCUGGGAACUGCAUUUGUGACUGCUCGACUGGAGUAUGUCAGAGGGGGGUGGAAUUCCAAGUGUAGCAGUGAAAUGCGUAGAUAUUUGGAAGAACACCGAUGGCGAAGGCAGCCCCCUGGGGCAAAGCUGACGCUCAUGCACGAAAGCGUGGGGAGCAAACAGGAUUAGAUACCCUGGUAGU
rnacentral:rRNA from 1 species